rnacentral:rRNA from 1 species
CCUACGGGGGGCAGCAGUGGGGGAUAUUGCACAAUGGGGGAAACCCUGAUGCAGCGACGCCGCGUGGGCGAAGAAGUAUUUCGGUAUGUGAAGCCCUAUCAGCAGGGAAGAAGAAAUGACGGUACCUGAGUAAGAAGCACCGGCUAAAUACGUGCCAGCAGCCGCGGUAAUACGUAGGGGGCAAGCGUUAUCCGGAAUUACUGGGUGUAAAGGGAGCGUAGACGGUGAUGCAAGUCUGGAGUGAAAGGCGGGGGCCCAACCUCCGGACUGCUCUGG